rnacentral:tRNA from 1 species
UCCUGGUGGCUCAGAUGGUAAAGCGUCUGCCUGCAAUGUAGGAGACCCGGGUUCGAUUCCUGGGUCGGGAA